GAUGAACGCUAGCGGCAGGCUUAAUACAUGCAAGUCGAGGGGCAGCAGGGUGUAGCAAUACAUCGCUGGCGACCGGCAAACGGGUGCGGAACACGUACACAACUUUCCUUUAAGUGGGGGAUAGCCCAGAGAAAUUUGGAUUAAUACCCCGUAAUAUUAUGAAGUGGCAUCAUUUUAUAAUUAUAGCUCCGGCGCUUGAAGAUGGGUGUGCGGCUGAUUAGGUAGNGGCGGGGUAACGGCCCACCAAGCCUACGAUCAGCAACUGGUGUGAGAGCACGACCAGUCACACGGGCACUGAGACACGGGCCCGACUCCUACGGGAGGCAGCAGUAAGGAAUAUUGGUCAAUGGAC
rnacentral:rRNA from 1 species